rnacentral:rRNA from 1 species
CCUAUGGAAGCGGAGGACAUUA